GAAGGGGGCUAGCGUUGUUCGGAAUUACUGGGCGUAAAGCGCGUGUAGGCGGUUGCCAUAGUCAGGUGUGAAAGCCUUGAGCUUAACUCAAGAAAUGCACUUGAUACUGGGCGACUAGAGGACCGGAGAGGAUAGUGGAAUUCCCAGUGUAGUGGUGAAAUACGUAGAGAUUGGGAAGAACACCAGUGGCGAAGGCGGCUAUCUGGACGGUUUCUGACGCUAAGACGCGAAAGCGUGGGGAGCAAACAGGAUUAGAUACCCUGGUAGUCCACGCCGUAAACGAUGGGUGCUAGACGUUGGCGAGCUUGCUCGUCAGUGUCGCAGUUAACGCGUUAAGCACCCCGCCUGGGGAGUACGGCCGCAAGGUUG
rnacentral:rRNA from 1 species